GCUUCUGGAAACAAGCGACCGAAUGAUGCACACCGAAAACACUCAGCAGUGUUUAGUCUGCGGUCCGCGCCCAAACCUAAUCGAACCGUUUUCCAUUUUUUCGAACGGAACAAACUAUAUUUGGAGAUAUUUUCUCUUUUGUUUAGUCGUAAGUUCGCUCUCAGGAAUUAUUUAUGACUCGCGAUGAUAAGUGCGCAUUUUAUCAUACAAUUCGCAUUCCUGGUAUUUAAUUACUUAAGUGCUUAAUCAGCUAUCAGCAUUUGCCCAAUAGUUCGCGUUAUGCUUUGUUUCGUUCAGCAGUCGACCGAAUUCAGUGGCAAGUUCUCGAAUGUUUUAAAAUAUACUACAGGGUACAUAAUACAACAGAAUUAAAAAACUAGGCGAUCCAAGGGCAACACCAACUACACAGAGGCAAGACAAAGAUUAUUUAUGUUAUAUAUAUUAUAUUUGUAAUUUUUUAUAUAUAACAUGAACACAAUCAGUA